GCAGCAGCCGCGGGAAUACAGAGGGUGCGAGCGUUAAUCGGAUUUACUGGGCGUAAAGCGUGCGUAGGCGGCUUCUUAAGUCGGAUGUGAAAUCCCUGAGCUUAACUUAGGAAUUGCAUUCGAUACUGGGAAGCUAGAGUAUGGGAGAGGAUAGUGGAAUUUCCGGUGUAGCAGUGAAAUGCGUAGAGAUCGGAAGGAACAUCUGUGGCGAAGGCGACUAUCUGGGCCAACACUGACACUGAGGCACGAAAGCGUGGGGAGCAAACAGGAUUAGAUACCCGAGUAGUCCCUGUCUCUUAUAA
rnacentral:rRNA from 1 species